GAAGCGAGCCAGGCCGUCGCCUGCGCUGCCCUCGGGCGACGCGGGAGGAAGGUCCGGACUGCAGAGGGCGGCGUAGCAGCUAACGGCUGUCCACCGCGAGGUGAGGAUCAGAGCAACAGAGACGAGUCGAUUUGUCCGCCGUCAGGCGGCGGGUCGGGUGAAACGGGCAAUCUCUACGCGCAGCAAUACCAAAUAGGCCGGCGUGGGCGGGGGCGCAAGCCAGCGCUCGAAGUGUGGCUCCGCACGAGCCGGCGGGUAGGUAGCACGAGCCGGACAGCGAUGUCCGGCCCAGAGGAAUGGCGGCCACGGCCGCGGCGUCGCAAGGCGCUGCGGCUGCACAGAAUCCGGCCUAUCGGCUCGCUUCACAC
rnacentral:RNase_P_RNA from 1 species